AAAUAAUAUUCUGGCAUAGACUGUCCCCAGCUGUGAACAGAAGAUGGAGUACUGAGUGAGAAAGGAAGAGGACCCGAAACAGGAUAUUGAAUUUCAAAAGACAAAAUGAAGCUAAGGUGCCACAACAAAAGCUUCAGAAGGUCCCAUUUGAGCUCUCCCUCAUCUUCAAUCCCCCUGUGGAGGAUGCUACAGGAGCAGUAGAAGCAACAGAAGGUGUUGAAUCCUUCUUCUACCAGCUAUUGAAAGACAGAAAGAGAGAAUGUGGCCAAAGACCACCAAAGAACAUGCUCUUCCAUGAGACCAGAUUCAAGCACAUGGCACAGGAAAUAAAGGACAUGAUGGAACACAUCUCACUGGGCCUGGUGAGACUGGCAGAGGCAGGGGCUCAACAACCUGUUCUUCAAGCUGUCUCAGUAAUAGGCUUCCUGCUUCCUACUUCUUGUCUUUUUGGAGAUCCCUUUGAUCCUAAUUAUUCCUCAGCCUCAUCUUCUGGCCUUUUAUAAAAUGUGUGAGCCCUUUAAUAUGCUUUAAAUAAAUUGACUUGUACUUGUCAACCAUGUUAGUUUUGUUGCUGCCAUUGUUCACAAAGAAAUAUCCAACUGAUAUAUUAAAAAGCAAGAAUAACUGGCACUCUAACAUAGAAAAAUCCAGUCAUGAGAAUGGAAAAACAGGAAAUAAUAAAUAUAUAAAGAAUAUUAAGAGGCUAUGAUCACCUGAAAACUUGAGAUAAUUAAGAAACAAAAGGCAUACCAGAUCCAAAACUUAUUAAUUAAACAAUGCCAAUUAAAAUAUUUGUGAUUGACAUACUAACAAAUGAGUUAAUCAAUGAGUUAAUCAACAGGCAGAUAAAUGAAACAGACUAGCAGUACAGAAACACAAUACAAUACAUUUGGGAAUUUGAUGGCAUCACAUUUCACAUUAGAUAAAAAAAUAGAUUAUUCUGUAAACAGGGUAUAAAAUUAUUUCUCUAAGAAUUAAAUCAGAUAAAUAAAUACAUGACUCUAUAGACAGAUAUACAUCUGAGGUGAAUUAAAAUUUAAAAUAUAACAAAAAUAUAAAACUCUAAUGUUAUUACUUUUUUACUUAUAGCACAAAUCUGUUCUACAGAGUGACAAUGUAAACAUAGUUAAAUGACAAACCACAGAAAUUUAGAUGUUUAUAAAAUAAACAAGUAAAAUGUUUAAAUAACAAUUGCAAUAUAUAAAAAUUUAUUCAUAAAUAAUAAAAAUAAGCUAAAUUUAUAAACAGACGUUUCUAAGUAGAAGACACAAGAAUAUGCAAAUGUGUUUGGCUGUGCUAUUAUUUAUGGAAACACAACAGUGGAUUACUGUCUUGUGGUGCCAAGUGUGACAAUAGCAAUUGAUGGUAAUGCUGUAGUUUAACUUUAUGUCUUACACACUGCUGGUAUGAGUAUAAACAAUUACAACUAUAUUGAAGAACAAUUUUACGGUACCCAGAAAAUUGAAGAUAGACCUACCCUGUGGCAUAGGAUAUAUAGGAAUAUAUAUCCAGGGGGAACAUCUUGUUCAAAAGUGCAUAAAAUGUUUAUUGCCACUUAUAAAGAGUGUUUAUGGCAGUGUUGUUUAAAAUAGUGCAAAAUUGAUAAUAUAAAAGUCCAUCCAGGAGGGUAUAGAUAAAUAACACCAUCAUCAGUGGAAUAAUAAUAAUAAUAAUAAUAAUAAUAGCAUUUAGUCCAAUUAAACAAUUGCAUUUCUAAAAAAUUGCAUUGUUUACUUGUAUUAAGUUAUUUCAUUGUUAUAAAUCCCUGAAAAGAAAGCAGGUAUUAUUAAUCCCAUUCUGAAGAUAAGAAAACUGAUACAGAAUUUAAUUAUGCAAAUUUUUUAAGAGCACAAAACUAGUAAAAAACAGAGCCAUGAUUCAAGUUAUUCUCAAUAUGCUACAAACCUGUACAGCUUGUUUCUUUACUAAAUACUGUAGACAAUUGUAACACAAUGGUAAUAUUUGUGUAUCUAAGCAUGUCUAAACAUAGGAAAGGUACAGUGAAAAUAUGGUAUAGUCUUAUGGGACUACUGUCAUUUGUGCAGUCCAUCACUGGCUGAAAUUUUGUUAUACAGUACAUGACUGUUUAUUUGAAGCUAAUCAACCCUGAAUAUCAUGAAAAGAGAGAGCUGAUACUACAGAAUGGAGGCAGGGAAGAAUAUAUGCAGAAUUAAAAGGUGUCCAUCAGUGUGUGUUUGUGCUCCCAUACUUAGUAAGAUGAAAAAUUGUAGCAAUCAUGGCCGGAUAAAAACAAGAUGACCAGAGCUCAGAAUCCCAUUGCAUAAAGUUCUGGGUAGCUCUACUUGGCAAACAAUCUAAAGCAGACAUAUUGUCUCCCUUUUUAAACCAUUUAUUUUUAUUUCUUAAUUAUUAAUUAUAACAACCUAUUAGUAUGUAAAAUGAAUUAGCCCUAUAUCUGUUAUAUGUAUGGUAAAUUACUUUUCCCAAAGUAUGUGUGAUUAAUAUUUGUCUGAUGUUCCAAGCUACCUCAUGUGUUCUUGUUCUUUACAUCCCUUGGAGGGAAGCUCUACUGUAUUGUCACCUUGGUGCAUCUGUAACUUAAAUAAUAAACCUCACAGAUCCACAUCCCAGUUUUCUGGAUUCCUAGUACAAUGGAGAUAUUGAGAAGUACACUUUCAAUACAUCCUAUGAUUUUCCAAAACUUUCAACAUUUACUUAACCAGCUGAAGAAGUUUCUCUAAGAUUGGUUGUAUUAGUCUAUUUUCACACUGCUAUAAGGAAAUUCCCAAGACUGGGUAAUUUACGAAGGGAGAGGUUUAAUUGACUCACAGUUUCACAUGGCUGGGGAGGCCUCAGGAAACUUACAAUCAUGGAGAAAGGUGAAGGGGAAGCAAGAGCCUUCUUCACAUGGUAGCAGGAGAAAAGGAGUGUAUGUAGGAGGAAAUGUCAAACACUUAGAAAACCAUCAGCUCUCAUGAGAACUCACUCACUAUCACGAGAACAGCAGGGGGUAAACUGCCUCCAUCAUACAAUCACCACCCUCCAGGUUCUACCCUUGACACGUGGGGAUUAUGGGGAUUACAAUUCAAGAUGAGAUGUGGGCGGAACACAGAGCCAAGCCAUAUAAUUGGUCUACCCCUUAUAACAGAGUGCUUCAAGCUUUCUUAGGGAAGAGCCAGAAUUAAGAGGGAAACCUUGUCUUACUUCAGUAUCAGAGGUGAUUGUUAUAUUAAUAAAAGCUGUUUGUGUGUUGGUGAUAUACUAGCCCUGUAUUGAUGUAUUUAUUCCACAUUGUCGUGAUAAUUUUGAAAGAUAUCAGGUAGCCAUUGACAAAAUAAGAGAGAUUUGGAGAUUAUUAAAUAGUUUCCAUAUUAUAAGAAUAACUCAAAUUUCCUUGUUAUAAUGCAUAUGAGUCUUGGAUGAAAUACUUAGCAUUUUGAAUAGUUUUAUUGAUAUAUAAUUUACUUACCAUAAAACACACUUAUUGUUCUACACAAUUCAAUGAUUUUUGAGUAUAUUUACAGCAUGUAUCAUAACAGUCUAAUUUUAAAAUAUUUUCAUUGUCCUAGAAAUAAAUGACAUGCCCAUUUGUAGUCCCUCUUCAUGCUCACUACCAGCCGUAGGCCACCAAAAAUCUUUUUUCUUUAUAGAUUUUCCUUUCCUGGACAUUUUGUCUAAAUAAAAUCUUACAAAAUGCA
rnacentral:lncRNA from 1 species